rnacentral:lncRNA from 1 species
AAAAACAAACAGGAACAAAAGAGUUAGGAGAAGACUUGGGUAAGAGAGAUAGAGAAGAAACAUGCACUGAGUUUGGGAAGAUAUAAACAGCGGGUCUUUGAAGCUCGAACAAUAAUCAAAAGCAAAGAAGGAGAGGGAGAGGGAGGCCUUCUCUCGAGCCGGAGAAGACCGCCGGAAGCAAGAGAUGAAAGAUAGUUUCGAGAGAAAAGAAAAACAGAGUGACGACGCCGUUAGAUGCGCGGAGAAGAAAAACUCACCGUGUACGGAGCAGAAACCGGAGAAGAAGAUUCGGAUCUCUCCAUCGAGGCGUUGAGAAAAGCGAUCCUACGAGAAGAAGGUUCGGAUCUCUCCAUGGACUUUGAUAAGAUCGAUACUUUUGUCUUUAGGGAUUUUAGGAAGAAUAUCUUAUUUUCUGGCUCAGACUUUCAGGAACUUUAUACUUGGUUUUUUUUUUUUGGUUCAAAUUAUACUUAGUGAUUUAAAGGUUAUUAUUAAUUAUUAAUAUAAAUAUAUAGCUAAGCAAAAAAUAAAUCAAUUUGACUAAACCUCUCUCUUGCGAUUUUUCUCCCAGACACGGUUCCAGAGAAAAACCUUUACACCCUGUACCCAAAGCUGACCUAGCCUUUUAACCCACGGUUCUUUCCCUUUGUCGGCUUUUAUCCUCUGUAAAACCCUGCAAAUUUUCAAAUAAUUACUACUUUAAGCUAUAUCCAACGGAUAAUAGAUAGCUCCCACAAAUUAUCCUACCGGCUCCGCAGUCUCCUCCGCCGGGUUCAGCCCCCGACUCCGUCGGUGGGUCAGCCAGGGUCCUCCUGUGCCGUCUCCGUUCUGUUCUCGCAUCUCAGCCUCAUACAGUCUCUGUACUCUCUCUAUACCGGAGCUGGUCUUUAUGGAUGAGAUAAGAUAGAUACCUUUCUCAACUCUUGGGUUGUUAUAACCUCCUACUAGUACUGCCUCCAACAACUUGAUAUAGCAUUAAUCACUUUGAGUUACUCACCUAUAUCAGCAUUUACUGACCUUGGAAAGUCGAGAUCUCACCAUCUCUUUAAGAUACUCUCCACGCUGGGUCUGGUUAUACUAAAUCUCCUUUCAGCUUGAAUUAUUUGUGCCACUUCCACCAUGUCUCGCCGCUACUCUCGUUCGGACAAGGAAAAAUGGAGUGCGGCCGCCCCCCCGCCACCUCCGCCUACUCGCCGUGCUCCUAUUCGCAUUCCAGACAGUGACCCUGCCGCCCUAAUAGCGGAAAACAAGCUCACUAUCAUUGGUAGGGUUACAAACCCACGGUUCCAGAGACCUCGAGCUGUUAUCGACUUCUUGCCCCAAGUCUGGAAUUUGGAAGGGCACGUUGAAGGCCGUGAAAUAGGGCUAGACAAAUUCCAGUUUCGUUUCGAUUCAGAACACGAGCUUCAAACGGUUCUUGACAAAGGCCCGUACCAUUACAAAAGAUGGAUGUUGAUACUACAAAGAUGGGAACCGGUGGUGUCGGAAAACUUCCCUUCUCAGAUAUCCUUUUGGGUGAAAAUCCAUGGUAUCCCCCUCCACUACUGGAAUGAAAAAGCUGUUGAAACUAUCAGCGAUGCACUUGGACAUGUCUCAAGCCGAAACGCCAAAGAAGCAAAGACCAAUGUCACUUCCAUUGAGUUGCAAGGCUUUGUCUCCUGCGCCUUCUCCACGAAGGAUAACAAUGCACGACCUCUGGAGUGCAUUUGUCACUGGAUCUCUGCGAAUCUGGAUGUUGUGGACUUCUCCACAUGUCUUGAAAAGACUCUCCAAAGCCCGGUAGAGAUCAAUAGGUUUAAGGGAAGUACUGUACCCUUCAACACCGAUCCUUAUCCUAAUUGUUCAAUAGAAUCAAUUAGCAAACACAUUUGAAAGUGAAGGUAUUUAUCUUUUAUUACUUCACGUCUUUACAUCAGAAUCAUAAUAUAAAUAUACACAUACAUUAGCUAGACCAAAUAAUAUAGCUAUUCAAUCUAAACCAAAUAAUAGAAUAUUUAUUGGUAUCUAUCAACAUUACACAAAAUCUCCAAAAAGCAAAGGAAAAAAAAAACAGAAAUCUAUUUACCUGCUUUUGUAGUAAUCAUAGUGCGACUUCAUAACGUCGACAUACUUAUCACCGUACAAAGUCCUCUUCCCCUAUAUUUAUAAGAAAAUGUAAUUAGAAUCCUUUAAAAAAUAAUAUAUAUAUAUAUAUAUAUGUAUAUUAAUUUAAAAACCGAAAAAGAUUGGGGACCAGAACAGAACAAUCGCCGACAAAAACAAACAGGAACAAAAGAGUUAGGAGAAGACUUGGGUAAGAGAGAUAGAGAAGAAACAUGCACUGAGUUUGGGAAGAGAUAAACAGCGGGUCUUUGAAGCUCGAACAAUAAUCAAAAGCAAAGAAAAGACCGCCGGAAGCAAAAGAUAGUUUUGAGAGAAAAGAAAAACGGAGUGACGACGCCGUUAGAUGCGCGGAGAAGAAAAACUCACCGUGUACGGAGCAGAAACCCGAGAAGAAGAUUCGGAUCUCUCCAUCGAGGCGUUGAGAAAAUCGAUCAUACGAGAAGAAGGUUCGGAUCUCUCCAUGGACUUUGAUAAGAUCGAUACUUUUGUCUUUAGGGAUUUU